rnacentral:tRNA from 1 species
GCGUCCAUUGUCUAAUGGAUAGGACAAAGGCUAUCAUACCUUUGGUAUAGGUUCAAAUCCUAUUGGACGCU